AGAAAAACAUAUAUCCCUUCAAAUUUUCUAUAAUUGAGAUGCCAUAUGAGUCUUACAAUGGAAUCAACGUAAGGCUUAGGUAGGAGGAUAUCCUUUAAAUUUUUCUGGUUUGGUUAUUUAAUUGAGAUGGUUGUCCAAUUGCCCCUACCCCCUAAUUUUUACUCUAAAUCGAUUUUCAAUUAGUGCUGGCUAUGCUUUUGUAAAUGUUACAAGUUUUGCUGGGUUAUAUAAAACUAUUGAAUCUUCAUUGUUUCCUUUUUUUAUUUCCGCUUUUCCUCCAAGUUUAUUCAUGUUUUUCUGUUCAUAUACUUGGUUGAAUUGCAAAACUCUCUCUCCCACCUCCCCCACUGAUACACUUGUAUUAUAUAGAUAUU
rnacentral:misc_RNA from 1 species